UGCAAGUCGAACGAGAGAGAGGGAGCUUGCUUCCUCAAUCGAGUGGCGAACGGGCGAGUAACGCGUGAGGAACCUGCCUCAAAGAGGGGGACAACAGUUGGAAACGACUGCUAAUACCGCAUAAGCCCACAGGUCGGCAUCGACCAGAGGGAAAAGGAGCAAUCCGCUUUGAGAUGGCCUCGCGUCCGAUUAGCUAGUUGGUGAGGUAAUGGCCCACCAAGGCAACGAUCGGUAGCCGGACUGAGAGGUUGAACGGCCACAUUGGGACUGAGACACGGCCCAGACUCCUACGGGAGGCAGCAGUGGGGAAUAUUGCACAAUGGGGGAAACCCUGACGCAGCGACGCCGCGUGGAGGAAGAAGGUCUUCGGAUUGUAAACUCCUGUUGUUGAGGAAGAUAAUGACGGUACUCAACAAGGAAGUGACGGCUAACUACGUGCCAGCAGCCGCGGUAAAACGUAGGUCACAAGCGUUGUCCGGAAUUACUGGGUGUAAAGGGAGCGCAGGCGGGAAGACAAGUUGGAAGUGAAAUCUAUGGGCUCAACCCAUAAACUGCUUUCAAAACUGUUUUUCUUGAGUAGUGCAGAGGUAGGCGGAAUUCCCGGUGUAGCGGUGGAAUGCGUAGAUAUCGGGAGGAACACCAGUGGCGAAGGCGGCCUACUGGGCACCAACUGACGCUGAGGCUCGAAAGUGUGGGUAGCAAACAGGAUUAGAUACCCUGGUAGUCCACACCGUAAACGAUGAUUACUAGGUGUUGGAGGAUUGACCCCUUCAGUGCCGCAGUUAACACAAUAAGUAAUCCACCUGGGGAGUACGACCGCA
rnacentral:rRNA from 1 species